AUGGCUGUUCGCCAUUUAAAGCGGUACGUGAGUUGGGUUCAGAACGUCGUGAGACAGUUCGGUCCCUAUCUGCCGUGGGUGUAGGAAUAUUGAAAGGAUCUGUCCCUAGUACGAGAGGACCGGGAUGGACGGAUCUCUGGUGGACCUGUUGUGGCGCCAGCCGCAUUGCAGGGUAGCUAUAUCCGGACGGGAUAACCGCUGAAGGCAUCUAAGCGGGAAACCCACCUUGAAACGAGUAUUCCCUGAGAACCGUGGAAGACGACCACGUUGAUAGGCCGGGUGUGGAAGAGCGGCAACGCUUGAAGCUUACCGGUACUAAUAGUUCGAUCGGCUUGAUCGUUCUCAUU
rnacentral:rRNA from 1 species